rnacentral:rRNA from 1 species
UACGUAGGGUGCAAGCGUUGUCCGGAAUUAUUGGGCGUAAAGAGCUCGUAGGCGGUUUGUCGCGUCUGCUGUGAAAACGCGAGGCUCAACCUCGCGCCUGCAGUGGGUACGGGCAGACUAGAGUGCGGUAGGGGAGAUUGGAAUCCUGGUGUAGCGGUGGAAUGCGCAGAUAUCAGGAGGAACACCGAUGGCGAAGGCAGAUCUCUGGGCCGUAACUGACGCUGAGGAGCGAAAGCGUGGGGAGCGAACAGG